GCGGGAAUUCCAGCUCCAAUAGCGUAUAUUAAAGUUGUUGCAGUUAAAAAGCUCGUAGUUGAAUUUCGGGGUUCUACCGUUGGUCGGGCAAUAGUCUGUACUGGCGUGUAGAAUUUCUACCUUCUGGGGAACCAUCAUGUUAUUUAUUUAGCGUGGUGGGAAACCAGGACCUUUACCUUGAAAAAAUUAGAGUGUUCAAAGCAGGCUUACGUCUGAAUACAUUAGCAUGGAAUAAUAAAAUAGGACGGUGGUCCUGUUUUGUUGGUUUCUGAAUCACCGUAAUGAUUAAUAGGGAUAGUUGGGGGCAUUAGUAUUCAAUUGUCAGAGGUGAAAUUCUUGGAUUUAUUGAAGACUAACUUCUGCGAAAGCAUUUGCCAAGGAUGUUUUCAUUAAUCAAGAACGAAAGUUAGGGGAUCGAAGACGAUCAGAUACCGUCGUAGUCUUAACCAUAAACUAUGCCGACUAGGGAUCGGACGAUGUUAANG
rnacentral:rRNA from 1 species